rnacentral:rRNA from 1 species
AUUGAACGCUGGCGGCAGGCCUAACACAUGCAAGUCGAACGAGUGGCGGAAGGGUGAGUAAUGUCUGGGAAAAUGACUGAGGGAGGGGGAUAACUACUGGAAACGGUAGCUAAAACCGCAUACCAGCAGCUGUACCGGGGUGGGAUUAGCUGGUUGGUGGGGUAACGGAUCACCAAGGCUACGAUCCCUAGCUGGUCUGAGAGGAUGACCAGCCACACUGGAACUGAGAAAUGGUCCAGACGCCUACGGGAGGCAGCAGUGGGGAAUAUUGCACAAUGGGCGCAAGCCUGAUCCAGCCAUGCCGCGUGUAUGAAGAAGGCCUUCGGGUUGUAAAGUACUUUCAGCGGGGAGGCGUUACCCGCAGAAGAAGCACCGGCUAACUCCGUGCCAGCAGCCGCGGUAAUAC